GUAAAUUUAUACUCAAUCUGUCUAAAUUGCCAGACAAUUAAUAACUCCUCAAAGGGAGAGUUCUGGCAGUAACAGUGGCUUUUCUCCAUCUAAAGAAAAACAGUUUUACUACAAUCUUUGUAUAUCAUUGAUAACUAAAAUGGACAAUCUGGUUCAGGGAAUAAUUAUCACCAUAUUGGCAUUUUUAGUGUCAAGUUUCUUCGAAACUUGACAAGUAUUGUGAUGAGUGGGGGAAAAUUCAUAUGAGUCAGGGAUCAGGCAUAAUAGUGUAAACUUUCCGG